UACAGGGGGUGCAAACGUUGCUCGGAAUCAUUGGGCGUAAAGCGCACGUAGGCGGUUCGUUAUGUCGGAUGUGAAAGCCCUUGGCUUAACCGAGGAAGUGCAUCCGAAACUGGCGAGCUAGAGUACGAAAGAGGAUCGCGGAAUUCCCGGUGUAGAGGUGAAAUUCGUAGAUAUCGGGAGGAACACCGGGUGGCGAAGGCGG
rnacentral:rRNA from 1 species